rnacentral:rRNA from 1 species
GAUCCUGGCUCAGGACGAACGCUGGCGGCGCGCCUAACACAUGCAAGUCGAACGAGAGAGAGGAAGCUUGCUUCCUCAAUCGAGUGGCGAACGGGUGAGUAACGCGUGAGGAACCUGCCUCAAAGAGGGGGACAACAGUUGGAAACGACUGCUAAUACCGCAUAAGCCCACGACCCCGGCAUCGGGGUUGAGGGAAAAGGAGCAAUCCGCUUUGAGAUGGCCUCGCGUCCGAUUAGCUAGUUGGUG